UACGUAGGAUGCGAGCGUUGUCCGGAUUCACUGGGUGUAAAGGGAGCGCAGGCGGGUCGGUAAGUCAUUGGUGAAAUUCCCGGGCUCAACCCGGGGACUGCCACUGAUACUGCCGGUCUUGAGUGUGGAAGAGGUUGGUGGAAUUCAUGGUGUAGCGGUGAAAUGCGUAGAUAUCAUGAAGAACACCGAUGGCGAAGGCAGCCAACUGGUCCAUUACUGACGCUCAUGCUCGAAAGCGUGGGGAU
rnacentral:rRNA from 1 species